UGUAUUUAAUAUAGCAGCUUUUGUAGU
rnacentral:sRNA from 1 species